rnacentral:rRNA from 1 species
CAGUAGCCGCGGGAAUACGAAGGGUGCAAGCGUUACUCGGAAUUACUGGGCGUAAAGCGUGCGUAGGUGGUGGUUUAAGUCCGUUGUGAAAGCCCUGGGCUCAACCUGGGAAUUGCAGUGGAUACUGGGUCACUAGAGUGUGGUAGAGGAUAGUGGAAUUUCCGGUGUAGCAGUGAAAUGCGUAGAGAUCUGGAGGAAUACCGAUGGCGAAGGCAGCCAUCUGGCCUAAUACUGACGCUGAGGUACGAAAGCAUGGGGAGCAAACAGGAUUAGAUACCCCCGUAGUCCCUGUCUCUUAUAC